UAAAAGUGUCCAGGGAUGGGAAUCGAACCCACAGUGUUCCGCUUACCGGGCAGAUGCCAUGACCACUAGGUCCAGGGUAGCCUAGUG